CAUGCAGUUUGAAGUUCAGAGAAUUGCUUAAAGUUAUAGCUUCCCAGGAAAUAAUCAUGUUGAUGUCAGAGGAAGUUUGUAGAGCUAUGAAGAAUUGUAAUUACAUAGUCUGCUGCUAUAUGCUGCAGUCUGAUAGAUAAGGGACAGAUUCAACAAUGGGGUUGACAGCUGAGCUGUUAUCGAUCUUUUGUUUUUAAAGCUAGCGAUGAUGUAUCUCAUGCUUUAACUUCAGCUCAAAUCGACAUAAAUAUGAAAUUGCUGACUGAGGUGGGAGUAGGACACAGCACCAACAGACAGGACCUAAGAGGCCACAGAGAUGAAAGAAACGUGAUCACACUUUUCCCUGCUGACAGCUGAACAUGCUUGCUACUUACAGUUGAAAAAGCAUCAUCAUCUUCAAGUGCCUUUUAGGAGCGUUCAUGCUAUGGAAUAAAGGUGAGCCAGGAGAGGUAGGAGGCA
rnacentral:lncRNA from 12 species